rnacentral:rRNA from 1 species
UACGGAGGAUGCGAGCGUUAUCCGGAUUUAUUGGGUUUAAAGGGUGCGUAGGCGGGAUGCCAAGUCAGCGGUAAAAAUGCGGUGCUCAACGCCGUCGAGCCGUUGAAACUGGCGUUCUUGAGUGGGCGAGAAGUAUGCGGAAUGCGUGGUGUAGCGGUGAAAUGCAUAGAUAUCACGCAGAACUCCGAUUGCGAAGGCAGCAUACCGGCGCCAGACUGACGCUGAGGCACGAAAGCGUGGGGAUCGAACAGG